GGAGAAAAUUGAUCUUACUUGAUUUAUGAAUUUAAUGAGGGUUCAUAUUAUGGGAUGAUAUUAAAUAAUUACAAUUUUAUUGAUUGAUGUUUACACGGGAUAUGGAUGACCAGUUCUCUCUUCUCUCAAUCCCUCUCUAUAUAUUGGUAGCCAAACAUUUCUCAUCGUCAACCAAAGUGAUCGAGUGCCCGCCCAGCUAGUGUUGCAUCAGGUGGGGCAUGGACAAGUACACGAUUCGCAUCCUUGCAAUAGCAGCCCUAGUCUGUCUACAUCUCGUAUGCUCUGCUACUGUUGCUCAAUGCCGAAUCAUGGCUGACACGGAUAGCAAGAAGAUCGUUAUACCGCACGGGCUAUGUGUUGAUGUAGGUCCUAACAAUUGUGGGGACGGUGGUUGCUUCCAUUGUUUGGUAAAUAGUGUCUUCUACCGCACCAUGGAUGAGUGCAAGAGAAAGUGUAACACAUCCUCGUCUUUACAAGACAUGCUAGUGGCCAUGAGCGCCCAUGACUAGCUAGUCCCCUCGUCCUCCUUUACUCGCUCCUUAAAUUUCCAGCCUAGCUAGUCAAAUUGGCUUACAUAUGUUCAAGAUUGUCCCAAGAAAUAAUGUCUGAUGUGUGAAAA